GUGCAAGUGAUGUAAAUUUUAUUGCGUCUGAAUAAAAAUGAUGCACUCAAAGGAACCACUGAUGCGA